GCAAACUUGGUCAUUUAGAGGAAGUAAAAGUCGUAACAAGGUUUCCGUAGGUGAACCUGCGGAAGGAUCAUUGCUGAUGCCGGCGGUGCGGACGAUCCCUCGCGAGGGGGUGAGGCCCACCGCUUUCAACAUCAUCUGCCCCUUUGUGAACCUGGCAUCGGAGUUUUUUUACCGAAGCGCGAGCGAGCUGUGGGGCCCGCUCGUCCUCCUCCGCCGCUCUGGCUGGCGCUCGUCGCUGGCCUGUAGUAGCGGAGGAUAGGUCUCCUUUGCCCAAACAACCUGUCUUUUAUUGCCUGUCUCCCCAGACUGAAGCAACAAAAAAACAAAAAACAUACUUACAACUUUUAACAAUGGAUAUCUUGGCUCGCGCAUCGAUGAAGAACGCAGC
rnacentral:misc_RNA from 1 species